rnacentral:rRNA from 1 species
CCUACGUGAGGCAGCAGUGAGGAAUAUUGGUCAAUGGGCGCGAGCCUGAACCAGCCAAGUCGCGUGAGGGAAGACGGUCCUAUGGAUUGUAAACCUCUUUUGUCGGGGAGCAAAAGACGCCACGCGUGGCGUUCCGAGAGUACCCGAAGAAAAAGCAUCGGCUAACUCCGUGCCAGCAGCCGCGGUAAUACGGAGGAUGCGAGCGUUAUCCGGAUUUAUUGGGUUUAAAGGGUGCGAAGGCGGAAGAUCAAGUCAGCGGUAAAAUUGAGAGGCUCAACCCCUUCGAGCCGUUGAAACUGGUUUUCUUGAGUGAGCGAGAAGUAUGCGGAAUGCGUGGUGGAGCGGUGAAAUGCAUAGAUAUCACGCAGAACUCCGAUUGCGAAGGCAGCAUACCGGCGCUCAACUGACGCUCAUGCACGAAAGUGUGGGUAUCGAACAGGAUUAGAUACCCUAGUAGUC